rnacentral:rRNA from 1 species
AGGGCACACAAGGAGUGGAGCCUGCGGCUUAAUUUGACUCAACACGGGAAAACUUACCAAGACCGAACAUUAUGAGGAAUGACAGAUUAAGAGAUCUUUCAUGAUUUAAUGGUGAGUGGUGCAUGGCCGUUCUUAGUUGGUGGUAUGAAUUGUCAGGUUAAUUCCGGUAACGAACGAGACUGAAACCUAUUAAUUAGUUCUGUGCCUAUAAGACACAGGUGUUAGGAAUAACAGAUAGCGAUAUCACUUCUUAAAGGGACACAUUUCAAAUGUUCUUUGAUUAUCAAAGUUUGGAUUCUGUCCAACGUGAUAAACGAAGAAAAAAGAAACAGGAAGCAUUCAGCA